AAACCAACAGGGAUUGCCUUAGUAGCGGCGAGUGAAGCGGCAAAAGCUCAAAUUUGAAAUCUGGCUCUUUCAGAGUCCGAGUUGUAAUUUGAAGAAGGUAUCUUUGGGCCUGGCUCUUGUCUAUGUUUCUUGGAACAGAACGUCACAGAGGGUGAGAAUCCCGUGCGAUGAGAUGACCCAGGUCCGUGUAAAGUUCCUUCGACGAGUCGAGUUGUUUGGGAAUGCAGCUCUAAGUGGGUGGUAAAUUCCAUCUAAAGCUAAAUAUUGGCGAGAGACCGAUAGCGAACAAGUACAGUGAUGGAAAGAUGAAAAGAACUUUGAAAAGAGAGUGAAAAAGUACGUGAAAUUGUUGAAAGGGAAGGGCUUGAGAUCAGACUUGGCAUUUUGCAUGUUGCUUCUUCGGGGGCGGCCUCUGCGGUUUGUCGGGCCAGCAUCAGUUUGGGCGGCAGGACAAUCGCGUGGGAAUGUGGCACGGCCUCGGCUGUGUGUUAUAGCCCGCGUGGAUACUGCCAGCCUAGACUGAGGACUGCGGUUUAUACCUAGGAUGUUGGCAUAAUGAUCUUAAGUCGC
rnacentral:rRNA from 1 species